GACAGAGGUGCCAAGCGUUAGGCGGAAUCACUGGGCUUAAAGCGUGUGUAGGCGGAUGUCUAAGUACCUUGUGAAAUCCCACGGCUUACCCGUGGAACUGCUGGGUAUACUGGAUGUCUUGAGCCACUUAGGGGUCAGCGGAACAAACGGUGGAGCGGUGAAAUGCGUAGAUAUCGUUUGGAACGCCAAUGGUGAAAACAGCUGACUGGGAGUGUGCUGACGCUGAGACACGAAAGCCAGGGGAGCGAACGGG
rnacentral:misc_RNA from 1 species